UCGGAGCGAGAACACAGUAGAGAGGUAGAGAAUAGUGAAAGAAUUGAAACUGUAAAUAUUCAUUCACACAACACAAGUAUCAAAAUUGUCUAGCGUGGCGCAUAAACAAAAUUGUGCCAUGGCAGCGGAAGGCAUAAAAAAAGCCUUAUGUCGUUUACUGAAGAAAAGGAUAGACCGAAAAAGGCCCUAGCUAUGUUACUGUGAGCAAUUUUUCUUUAUCAAUCUAUCUCCCUCUCAUGGAUCGGGAAGAGUAUUUACAGAAAGAUUAUGAUGAUGAUUCAGUAAAUAAAGAGAAAACUAACAUGUACUGUAUAUUGGGAAUGGAGCUUCAGAGGAGAAUAUAGCUACUGAGAGGAAGAAAAGGGAGAAGCGCAAGGCACAUCAGAAUGACAGCAAUGAAAUUGCCAUGGAAGUGAAGAAGAACGAGAAGUCUGUAAGUGAAAUGUGUGCUGCAGAUGCUCUGAAAGACAAUAUUGCAGACACGGAGAUUGGAAAACAACUAGCCGAGAUUUACUCUAAAAUGAAUGCGGCACAAAGACAAAUUUUGUUGCACAACUUGGGGGAAUUCCUUCGCAAUUAUACAAUGGAGAUUAAUCAACCUGUUACGGGAAAGCCAGUUGGUAGGCGAAAUAUCAAAAUGCCCGGGAAAGAGGAGAGAAACCUCAGGAAGUAUAAGUAAGUUUAUCAUAUAUCGUAUUUUCUUUGUUGGUAAGUUGGUUAUAGACAGGUGUUUCCACAAGUACUGCCUUUGUAUGUGUUUUUAGUAUUAAGCUUUUGUUAGUCAGCCUAUUGUAGAAUUGACCAUAUACAAUGUUUAAGAUGUUGUGGAAGUUGAGAGAUCACACUGGAUGUUGCUGCAAUGAACGCAAUAGUUGCUCAAAGCAGAAACUUGUCCAGUAAUUGAUUGUUUUGUGCAUUGCUGCGCUUUCUUUUACACCAAAAUGCUCCCCUGUGUUCUUGAGUAUUCCAAUUUAUGUGCGAAUGGUUGUUGGCAAAACAGUGUGACUUGUUACAUCAAUGGUUUGUCAUUCGACUUGUACAAGUACCCAUUUUUCGGGGUAUUUGUUUCUCUAAAAGAUCUCUACUAAAAAGCAGAUGGUGUGUUUUGUAAUCUUUGUUUUGUUUUAUGAUGUUCCACGCAACUGCAAAAUCAGGUCUGGAAGAGUCAUUUUAGUAUUUGGUAUGAUCUUUGAUUCUUGUGUGUAAAAUAUGGCAACACGUUGCUAAAUUUUGAGUAACCUCUAGGCUUCGCCUUCAGGGAUCACUUCCUCUCUCUCUAACUGUUCUUGAACCCUAAAUGGAGAAUUUUUUGGUGGCUAAAGAACGGAGAACUUGUAAAACUAUCAAGUUUUUGCAAGCUCAAAUUGGUGUUCUUGAAUUCAUGGGCUCAAUUCAGGUAAAGCUAAAUCAUUUUAACCUUGCCAGUGCCGGUGAAAAUUGGCAUUUCAUGAUAAUGUGCAACCUAAAUUGCGACGAAUACCAAAUUGUCUAGUGUGGCGUACAAGCAAAAUCGUGCCAUGGCAGUGGACGGCACAAAACGGAUGUGUGGUGAUAGGACAGUAAUGUCAUAAUUGUCAUUUAACCGUUUUACAUGCCUCUUCUUCUCUUUGCAACUUUUUUGUAUUCGACAAUAACAAUAAGACAGUAAAAAACCCUAGAUAUUACUUUCAGAAAAUUGUUCUUUUUUAGGUUUUGAAUCUCCCUCCCUCAGCAUGGAUCUCGGUGCGUUUUUAGACAAAUAUUGUGAUGAAGAUUAAAGAAUGCCAAUGAAUCAGACAGGUCAGAAACAAGAAGGGAUUCACAAUUGAUUUUACAUCAUCACAGUGGUGAUGAAGAGAAAACUAAUAUGGAUACCGAAGAUGGAACUUAAUUCAGAGGAGAAUAUGGCAACUGAGAAGAAGAAAAAGGAGAAGCGCAAGGCUCAGGAGGAUGGGGUCGAACCUGAGCGGUAUUGAAAUUCCCAUUGAAGUGAAGAAGAAAAAGGAUUCUAUAAGCAAAAGUGAUUUCUAAAUGUAGAGAAACCUGAUAUGGAUAAAAGGAUAGAACUUUAGAGGAGAAUUUGGCAACUUUGAGGAAGCAAAAAGAGAAUCUCAGGACAAAGGAGCAUGGGAUCAAAUCGGAGCAGUAUGACGGUGUUGAAUCUUCCAUAGAAGUGAAGAAGAUCAAGAAGUCAAGUGAUUGUUCUACACGAAGAUAAAGCCAUUAAAGAACAAAUUCCCUCCAUUAUUUCACCAAGACGUGCAAAGACCGCCUACUCCUAAACGCAAACCAGUAGCAAAUUAAACUUGUGUGUGACCAUGUUCAAAGAUAGAAGACGAUCUAGAACUUGGUGAGACCUUCUAAAAGUUUCACAGAGACCAAACGCUGAUGAAAACCAUGAUGAUUUUGGCAUACACAGCAGGAGGGGCAUAGUAGGUCGCCGCUGAUUUAUCAAAAGCUGGUGAUACGGGUUUGUCCUUGGGAUUUGCUUGGGUUCGUUCUUGGAUCGGCAGAUUCCUAAUGCUCAGAUGUUUUGGAAGCUGAGAAAUCGCACCAGAUGUUGCUGCAAGCGGAUGCUCUCAGCAGAGGAAUAACUAGUAAACAUGUCCAGUAAUUGAUUGUGUCUGCUUUCCUUUACACCAACAGGCACACACAGAUUCUUAAAUAUUCCAAUUUAUGUGGGAGUUGGAAAAAUCAGGGUAGCUUGUUGAGUUGCAGGUGUCAGUGGUUUGUCACUCUUAAGUUGUUCAAGUACCCUUUUUAAGAUUUCUCCAAAAGAUCUCUGCUAAGCCUAAAUGGCAGUUUCUUUAAGAUUUGUUAGAUAGAAAGAAGUGCGAGAGAUAACUUCCUUUUCUACUAUUCUUGAACAUUAAAUGGAGAAUC